rnacentral:rRNA from 1 species
UACGUAGGGACCAAGCGUUGUCCGGAUUUAUUGGGCGUAAAGAGCGUGUAGGCGGCCAUGUAGGUCCGGUGUGAAAACUCGAGGCUUAACCUCGAGAUGUCAUCGGAAACCAUUUGGCUAGAGUCCGGAAGAGGAGAGUGGAAUUCCUGGUGUAGCGGUGAAAUGCGCAGAUAUCAGGAAGAACACCAAUGGCGAAAGCAGCUCUCUGGGACGGUACUGACGCUGAGACGCGAAAGCGUGGGGAGCGAACAGG